GAUGAAGAACGUAGCGAAAUGCGAUAAUUAAUGUGAAUUGCAGAAUUCCGUGAAUUAUCGAGUCUUUGAACGCACAUUGCGCCUCAUGGCAUUCCGUGAGGCAUGCCCAUCUCAGCGUUAGAAAAUAUUCUCAAAUUUUAGUUUUGUGCUAAAAUUUGGAUCAUGUCAAAGAAGCUAUUACUAUUAUUGUGAUCGCUCUUUGGAAAUUGAUAGGUCUUUGAGUUGCUACUCAUAGAACGUGAUGAAUCUUUCUUCGUUCUAUUGUAAUUCACUCUGGUAGUCCUAAAACUUGUAUGCCUAUGGCAUAUCUUGUAAUUUGACCUGAGAUUGGGUAGGGAUACCCGCUGAACUUAAGCAUAUCAAUAAGCGGAGGA
rnacentral:misc_RNA from 1 species